UUGAACGCUGGCGGCAUGCCUUACACAUGCAAGUCGAACGGUAACAGGUUAAGCUGACGAGUGGCGAACGGGUGAGUAAUAUAUCGGAACGUGCCCAGUCGUGGGGGAUAACUACUCGAAAGAGUAGCUAAUACCGCAUACGACCUGAGGGUGAAAGCGGGGGAUCGCAAGACCUCGCGCGAUUGGAGCGGCCGAUAUCAGAUUAGGUAGUUGGUGGGGUAAAAGCUCACCAAGCCAACGAUCUGUAGCUGGUCUGAGAGGACGACCAGCCACACUGGGACUGAGACACGGCCCAGACUCCUACGGGAGGCAGCAGUGGGGAAUUUUGGACAAUGGGCGCAAGCCUGAUCCAGCCAUGCCGCGUGCGGGAAGAAGGCCUUCGGGUUGUAAACCGCUUUUGUCAGGGAAGAAAAGGUUCUGGCUAAUACCCGGGACUCAUGACGGUACCUGAAGAAUAAGCACCGGCUAACUACGU
rnacentral:rRNA from 1 species